rnacentral:rRNA from 1 species
CAGCCGUAAACUAUGCGCGUUAGGUGUAUCGGUGACCACGAGUUACCGAGGUGCCGAAGGGAAACCGUGAAACGUGCCGCCUGGGAAGUACGGUCGCAAGGCUGAAACUUGAAGGAAUUGGCGGGGGAGCACCACAACAGGUGGAGCCUGCGGUUUAAUUGGACUCAACGCCGGGAAGCUCACCGGAUAGGACAGCAGAAUGAUUGCCGGGCUGAAGACUCUGCAUGACUAGCUGAGAGGAGGUGCAUGGCGUAGACGUCU